rnacentral:rRNA from 1 species
ACUAUCAUUAACUGAAUCCAUAGGUUAAUGAGGCGAACCGGGGGAACUGAAACAUCUAAGUACCCCGAGGAAAAGAAAUCAACCGAGAUUCCCCCAGUAGCGGCGAGCGAACGGGGAGSAGCCCAGAGCCUGAAUCAGUGUGUGUGUUAGUGGAAGCGUCUGGAAAGGCGCGCGAUACAGGGUGACAGCCCCGUACACAAAAAURCACAUAYUGUGAGCUCGAUGAGUAGGGCGGGACACGUGGUAUCCUGUCUGAAUAUGGGGGGACCAUCCUCCAAGGCUAAAUACUCCUGACUGACCGAUAGUGAACCAGUACCGUGAGGGAAAGGCGAAAAGAACCCCGGCGAGGGGAGUGAAAAAGAACCUGAAACCGUGUACGUACAAGCAGUGGGAGCACGCUUAGGCGUGUGACUGCGUACCUUUUGUAUAAUGGGUCAGCGACUUAUAUUCUGUAGCAAGGUUAACCGAAUAGGGGAGCCGAAGGGAAACCGAGUCUUAACUGGGCGUUAAGUUGCAGGGUAUAGACCCGAAACCCGGUGAUCUAGCCAUGGGCAGGUUGAAGGUUGGGUAACACUAACUGGAGGACCGAACCGACUAAUGUUGAAAAAUUAGCGGAUGACUUGUGGCUGGGGGUGAAAGGCCAAUCAAACCGGGAGAUAGCUGGUUCUCCCCGAAAGCUAUUUAGGUAGCGCCUCGUGAAUUCAUCUCCGGGGGUAGAGCACUGUUUCGGCAAGGGGGUCAUCCCGACUUACCAACCCGAUGCAAACUGCGAAUACCGGAGAAUGUUAUCACGGGAGACACACGGCGGGUGCUAACGUCCGUCGUGAAGAGGGAAACAACCCAGACCGCCAGCUAAGGUCCCAAAGUCAUGGUUAAGUGGGAAACGAUGUGGGAAGGCCCAGACAGCCAGGAUGUUGGCUUAGAAGCAGCCAUCAUUUAAAGAAAGCGUAAUAGCUCACUGGUCGAGUCGGCCUGCGCGGAAGAUGUAACGGGGCUAAACCAUGCACCGAAGCUGCGGCAGCGACGCUUAUGCGUUGUUGGGUAGGGGAGCGUUCUGUAAGCCUGCGAAGGUGUGCUGUGAGGCAUGCUGGAGGUAUCAGAAGUGCGAAUGCUGACAUAAGUAACGAUAAAGCGGGUGAAAAGCCCGCUCGCCGGAAGACCAAGGGUUCCUGUCCAACGUUAAUCGGGGCAGGGUGAGUCGACCCCUAAGGCGAGGCCGAAAGGCGUAGUCGAUGGGAAACAGGUUAAUAUUCCUGUACUUGGUGUUACUGCGAAGGGGGGACGGAGAAGGCUAUGUUGGCCGGGCGACGGUUGUCCCGGUUUAAGCGUGUAGGCUGGUUUUCCAGGCAAAUCCGGAAAAUCAAGGCUGAGGCGUGAUGACGAGGCACUACGGUGCUGAAGCAACAAAUGCCCUGCUUCCAGGAAAAGCCUCUAAGCAUCAGGUAACAUCAAAUCGUACCCCAAACCGACACAGGUGGUCAGGUAGAGAAUACCAAGGCGCUUGAGAGAACUCGGGUGAAGGAACUAGGCAAAAUGGUGCCGUAACUUCGGGAGAAGGCACGCUGAUAUGUAGGUGAGGUCCCUYGCGGAUGGAGCUGAAAUCAGUCGAAGAUACCAGCUGGCUGCAACUGUUUAUUAAAAACACAGCACUGUGCAAACACGAAAGUGGACGUAUACGGUGUGACGCCUGCCCGGUGCCGGAAGGUUAAUUGAUGGGGUUAGCGCAAGCGAAGCUCUUGAUCGAAGCCCCGGUAAACGGCGGCCGUAACUAUAACGGUCCUAAGGUAGCGAAAUUCCUUGUCGGGUAAGUUCCGACCUGCACGAAUGGCGUAAUGAUGGCCAGGCUGUCUCCACCCGAGACUCAGUGAAAUUGAACUCGCUGUGAAGAUGCAGUGUACCCGCGGCAAGACGGAAAGACCCCGUGAACCUUUACUAUAGCUUGACACUGAACAUUGAGCCUUGAUGUGUAGGAUAGGUGGGAGGCUUWGAAGUGUGGACGCCAGUCUGCAUGGAGCCGACCUUGAAAUACCACCCUUUAAUGUUUGAUGUUCUAACGUUGACCCGURAUCCGGGUUGCGGACAGUGUCUGGUGGGUAGUUUGACUGGGGCGGUCUCCUCCUAAAGAGUAACGGAGGAGCACGAAGGUUGGCUAAUCCUGGUCGGACAUCAGGAGGUUAGUGCAAUGGCAUAAGCCAGCUUGACUGCGAGCGUGACGGCGCGAGCAGGUGCGAAAGCAGGUCAUAGUGAUCCGGUGGUUCUGAAUGGAAGGGCCAUCGCUCAACGGAUAAAAGGUACUCCGGGGAUAACAGGCUGAUACCGCCCAAGAGUUCAUAUCGACGGCGGUGUUUGGCACCUCGAUGUCGGCUCAUCACAUCCUGGGGCUGAAGUAGGUCCCAAGGGUAUGGCUGUUCGCCAUUUAAAGUGGUACGCGAGCUGGGUUUAGAACGUCGUGAGACAGUUCGGUCCCUAUCUGCCGUGGGCGCUGGAGAACUGAGGGGGGCUGCUCCUAGUACGAGAGGACCGGAGUGGACGCAUCACUGGUGUUCGGGUUGUCAUGCCAAUGGCACUGCCCGGUAGCUAAAUGCGGAAGAGAUAAGUGCUGAAAGCAUCUAAGCACGAAACUUGCCCCGAGAUGAGUUCU